rnacentral:rRNA from 1 species
AACGAACGCUGGCGGCAGGCUUAACACAUGCAAGUCGAGCGCCCCGCAAGGGGAGCGGCAGACGGGUGAGUAACGCGUGGGAACCUACCUGAAGGUACGGAACAACUCCGGGAAACUGGAGCUAAUACCGUAUGUGCCCGAAAGGGGAAAGAUUCAUCGCCUUCAGAUGGGCCCGCGUCAGAUUAGCUAGUUGGUGGGGUAAUGGCCCACCAAGGCGACGAUCUGUAGCUGGUCUGAGAGGAUGAUCAGCCACACUGGGACUGAGACACGGCCCAGACUCCUACGGGAGGCAGCAGUGGGGAAUAUUGGACAAUGGGCGCAAGCCUGAUCCAGCCAUGCCGCGUGAGUGAUGACGGCCUUAGGGUUGUAAAGCUCUUUCGACGGGGACGAUAAUGACGGUACCCGUAGAAGAAGCCCCGGCUAACUUCGUGCCAGCCGCCGCCGUAA